CCUACGGGAGGCAGCAGUGAGGAAUAUUGGUCAAUGGACGGAAGUCUGAACCCGCCAUGCCGCGUGCAGGAAGACGGCUCUAUGAGUUGUAAACUGCUUUUGUACAAGGGUAAAUCCGAAUACGUGUAUUCAGCUGAAAGUACCGUACGAAUAAGGAUCGGCUAACUCCGUGCCAGCAGCCGCGGUAAUACGGAGGAACCAAGCGUUAUCCGGAUUUAGUGGGGUUAAAGGUUGCGUAGGCGGUUUGAUAAGUUAGAGGUGAAAUGUCCGGGCUCAACUCAGGAACUGCAUCUGAUACUGGUGGUCUAGAGAGUAGAUGCGGUAGGCGGAAUGUAUGGUGUAGCGGUGAAAUGCAUAGAGAUCAUACAGAACACCGAUUGCGAAGGCAGCUUACCAAGCUAUAACUGACGUUGAGGCACGAAAGCGUGGGGAGCAAACAGGAUUAGAUACCCUUGUAGUC
rnacentral:rRNA from 1 species